rnacentral:rRNA from 1 species
UACGUAGGGGGCAAGCGUUGUCCGGAUUUACUGGGCGUAAAGCGCGCGUAGGCGGAACGUUAAGUCCGGUCUGAAAGCCCCGGCUCAACCGGGGAGGGUGGCUGGAAACUGGCGUUCUUGAGGGCGAGAGAGGAGGGUGGAAUUCCUGGUGUAGCGGUGAAAUGCGCAGAUAUCAGGAGGAACACCGGUGGCGAAGGCGGGUCUCUGGGCCGAUGACUGACGCUGAGGAGCGAAAGCGUGGGGAGCGAACAGG